GAUGAACGCUGGCGGCGUGCCUAAUACAUGCAAGUCGAGCGAACAGACGAGGAGCUUGCUCCUUUGACGUUAGCGGCGGACGGGUGAGUAACACGUGGAUAACCUACCUAUAAGACUGGGAUAACUUCGGGAAACCGGAGCUAAUACCGGAUAAUAUAUUGAACCGCAUGGUUCAAUAGUGAAAGACGGUUUUGCUGUCACUUAUAGAUGGAUCCGCGCCGCAUUAGCUAGUUGGUAAGGUAACGGCUUACCAAGGCGACGAUGCGUAGCCGACCGAAGAGGGUGAUCGGCCACACUGGAACUGAGACACGGUCCAGACUCCUACGGGAGGCAGCAGUAGGGAAUCUUCCGCAAUGGGCGAAAGCCUGACGGAGCAACGCCGCGUGAGUGAUGAAGGUCUUCGGAUCGUAAAGCUCUGUUAUUAGGGAAGAACAAAUGUGUAAGUAACUAUGCACGUAUUGACGGUACCUGAUCAGAAAGCCACGGCUAACUACGUG
rnacentral:rRNA from 1 species